CGCCUCUUGAUAAAUAUAAGAGGUCCAGCCUGCCCAGUGACUUUGUUUAACGGCCGCGGUAUCCUAACCGUGCGAAGGUAGCGUAAUCACUUGUUCUUUAAAUAAGGACUAGUAUGAAUGGCAUCACGAGGGUCAUACUGUCUCCUUUCUCUAAUCAGUUAAACUAAUCCCCCCGUGAAGAAGCGGGGAUAAAAAUAUAAGACGAGAAGACCCUAUGGAGCUUUAAACCAUGUAACAAUUGCUUCAAUCUUUUCUUACAUUUAAGAAUAAUUACACCAAUGAUAGCUUAAUGAUUACUAAUUUUAGGUUGGGGUGACCGCGGGGAGCAAAAUAACCUCCACUUUGUUAUGGGGUACAACCUCUGAGCUAUGAGAUACACCUCUAAGCACCAACUAAUUGACAUCAAUUGACCCAAUAUUUUGAUCAACGAACCACGUUACCCUAGGGAUAACAGCGCACUUCGCCUCAAGAGCUCCUAUCGACAGGCGAGUUUACGACCUCGAUGUUGGAUCAGGGUAUCCAAGUGGUGUAGCCGCUACUAANGGUUCGUUUGUUCAACGAUUAAAACCCU
rnacentral:rRNA from 1 species